rnacentral:tRNA from 1 species
GCCAUCGUGGUGUAGUAGUCAACACGUUCGACGCUAAUCCGAGAGGUCCGUGGUUCGAGUCCCGGUGAGGGCA